rnacentral:rRNA from 1 species
GGGGAAUUUUCCGCAAUGGGCGCAAGCCUGACGGAGCAAUACCGCGUGAGGGAGGAAGGCUCUUGGGUUGUAAACCUCUUUUGUCAGGGAAGAAGAUCUGACGGUACCUGACGAAUCAGCAUCGGCUAACUCCGUGCCAGCAGCCGCGGUAAUACGGAGGAUGCAAGCGUUAUCCGGAUUUAUUGGGCGUAAAGCGUCCGCAGGUGGUUUAUCAAGUCUGCUGUUAAAGCGUGGGGCUUAACUCCAUACCGGCAGUGGAAACUGGUAGACUAGAGUCUGGUAGGGGUCACGGGAAUUCCCAGUGUAGCGGUGAAAUGCGUAGAUAUUGGGAAGAACACCAGCGGCGAAAGCGCGUGACUGGGCCGGAACUGACACUCAUGGACGAAAGCUAGGGGAGCGAAAGGGAUUAGAUACCCCUGUAGUCCUAGCUGUAAACGAUGGAUACUAGGUGUUGCCCGUAUCGACCCGGGCAGUGCCGUAGCUAACGCGUUAAGUAUCCCGCCUGGGGAGUACGCACGCAAGUGUGAAACUCAAAGGAAUUGACGGGGGCCCGCACAAGCGGUGGAGUAUGUGGUUUAAUUCGAUGCAACGCGAAGAACCUUACCAGGGCUUGACAUGUCCGGAAUCCCCUUGAAAGGGGGGAGUGCCUUCGGGAGCCGGAACACAGGUGGUGCAUGGCUGUCGUCAGCUCGUGUCGUGAGAUGUUGGGUUAAGUCCCGCAACGAGCGCAACCCUCGUUUCUAGUUGCCAUCAUUGAGUUGGGCACUCUGGAGAGACUGCCGGUGACAAACCGGAGGAAGGUGGGGAUGACGUCAAGUCAGCAUGCCCCUUACGUCCUGGGCUACACACGUACUACAAUGCUACGGACAGAGGGUUGCAAGUACGCGAGUGCAAGCUAAUCCCGUAAACCGUGGCUCAGUUCAGAUUGCAGGCUGCAACUCGCCUGCAUGAAGGAGGAAUCGCUAGUAAUCGCAGGUCAGCAUACUGCGGUGAAUACGUUCCCGGGCCUUGUACACACCGCCCGUCACACCAUGGGAGUUGGCCACGCCCGAAGUCGUUACUCCAACCGCUUGCGGAGGAGGACGCCGAAGGCAGGGCUGAUGACUGGGGUGAAGUCGUAACAAGGUAGCCGUACCGGAAGGUGUGGCUGGAUCACCUCCUU